CCUCAAGCUGCCCCCAGGGAGGGUCAGACAGGACAUUAGGAAAAACUUUUUCACUGAAAGGGUCAUCAGGCACUGGCAGAGGCUGCCCAGGGAGGGGGUGGAGCCACCAUCUCUGAAGAUAUUUAAAAGACAGGUAGAUGAGGUGCUUAAGGACAUGGUUUAGUGGCCAACAGGUAUGGUUGGACUUGAUCUCUGAAGUCUUUUCCAACCUGGUGAUUCUAUGAUUCUAUAAUGCUGACUACAGCAGGCUUUUCUUAAACUUCAGGGUUUUGGUUUACUUUCCUUCCCUUUCCCCAGGUCUUCAGAGAGUUUUACUCCCAAAUAAUUUGGUUUUCCAGCUGCUACCCAGAACUCAACCUCAGCCCAUUGGAGAGUAUGUGAAACAGCAGCUGGUGUCCAUUUCCCAGCUGAAAACAAUGAGGAUGUGUAAGGCUUGCUCAGCUGUGAAAAAGCCAGAGCAGGGAAAAAACCUCACGCAGAGAUAGUCUCAGAAAUUUGAGACUAAGUGGACAGCCAUAUCAGCCUAGAGCAGAGGUCCAGCUCAUGUUUUGUGCGGGAGUGCACGCUGGAUGCUUGGGGAGAAUCCAACUUCACUUUUUUCCAUGCUAUUUCGAUUAUGUAAGCAUAUCAUAUUCCCACCUGGUUAUUCCAUUCCCAACUUGAAACAUCAUAAUCAGGACAGCUCGUCUCUUCAGUGCUCCCAUCGAUUUUGUCAUCUUUCUCGGUGCCCUUCGUAAUUGCCAAAGCUGCAGAUAGCAGGAGGUUUGUGGGCCUGCUACGUGAUUUCUGGUUUGUUCUCAGGUGAUCCUGAGAAUUCCUGAUACUCUGUUUACCUUUUGUGGCCACCUGUGAGCACUGACUUGAUAUCUGGAGGCAACCAUUCACUAUCCUGGUAGCUUUCCUAUCUUCUAAUCCUGGUCCUCCUUUCAGAGACUGAAUUUCUACAGGCUUUGGUCCACGCGUGGCUUAGAGUAUGGACAGAGAAGUUGAUGUUCUGCUUUAUCUGCAUAAAGGGUUAUUUUAGCCCAGAAAACAGAGCAGUGCAGAGACAGAUAAAGCCACAACCCUUUAAUUUUUGGGGACUGAGCAGCUCAUCGCUAUCAGAGUUGUGCCGUUACUCAGACUCCUUGUGUUCCCAGCAAACACCAUCGGAAGAGCUGGCCGAGGAGGUGACAUUCAGGAUGCCCUUUCUAUCACCCACUAAAGCAGCUGAGAGGCUCCUGUUACAGAGCAGGAGAGCGGGGUGGGCAGGCUAAGACGCCUUCAUAUAAGACAAAGAAGAAAGAGAGCAAGUGGCAAAAGGGGGAGGGAAGGGGAGGGAAAGAAAAUCAGGAUUAGGUGCAUAAUAUUAGCACCAGCAACAACUGCAUCCUAAAAAAGAAAGCAAUGAGGUGAUAUUUUCCUAGGCUGACACUCAUUUGUGACAGAUGCACAAAUGCCACUUCUGGGCAGAUUUCAGUGCUGCAAAUGGAAAUAUAUCAGUAUGGAAUUUGUAUAAACCUGUCUGCUUUAAGCAGAAGACUUUUCAAGUUUAAGGCAGCCCGCGGGAUUACCAUGGGAUUUGCUCAGUGCCAGCGUCACUGCAGCGACGUUACCAACAGGGUACAUCGCAGCACAAUUUUCUAGUGACGUUUCUGAACUAACAUUUUGUGUUGCAAAAACAUUCUUGCAGCUUCAGGAAAUUUAUCAACUGCCUCAUUAUUUCUGCAGAGGCAGCGCUUGCUCCAAGCUUGCUCCAGAACCAGCAGCGCUGCAGAAAGCCAUGGUCCCCUCUGUCAGCCACGUGAAGCGAGAGCAGCCCAUGAUCGCAUUCAGACCGAACGCAGAGCUGCGGGGCCUCAGUGCGUUCAGCGUGAUCUGAGCAGCUGAACUUGCCUUCAGCACUCCUGCCUUCACGCCGUGCUGUGGGGAGCUGCCUGCCCUGCGGAGAAGAAAGGAACCCCAGGCAGCACUUCCCAAACCCAGGAGCAAAGCUGGAUUGGGAGGAGGCAGUGAAAAAACAUGCCUUCCUGGAGGGUUGAAGACUUCGGAGACUACUCGCAGUCCCCAGCUGGAGUCUGAAGCCCCCAGUCCUGGCCAGAGCUCAGGUGCCCCAGCCAGCUCCCCAGGGAAGGAAGCCUGGCUUGGGGUCCACCAGCCCAGGGAGCUGCUGCUCUCUCUGCCAGGAGUAAGUGGGUGGGGAAGGUGCAGAGUGGCCCUGGUUUUGAGUUGCUGCCGUGGCCCACAGGGACCUAACUCCUCGCUCCGUGCGAGCCCAGCCUCUGGCAACCACCCACGCCUAUGGUUUGUGAAGGAUCUUCCAAGAAAAUAAACAACCAACUCAGAAGUGGAGGAGGAGACAGGAGCAGAAGGGCUCCACAUUCAGCUGGACUGAUGCACAGCAGCAGCGUUAGCCGGCAAGAACACGUGCUCAGAGGGAUUGAACGUGCAUUAGAGAGCUUCUAAAGUGCUGCCACUAAAUGCAGUCCCGCAGCCUUAGGGGAUGGAUUUGAUGGAUCUUGGAAGGAGGCCCCUUGGCACAGCCCCAGCCUCCUGAGCUGUUCCCAGGCAUGUCCAGCACGCCUGCAGAUGAAAACUCAGUUCAGCUGUCAGACCAGAGGCACAACUAUUCAUUCAGAGGCAAGUUAUUUUUCCAGCAGACUAAUAAGUUAAACUGACUGGUCCUAGAAGCUUCCGCAGGCUUUGCCGGGCACCUCCGUGCUAGCUGGGCACCCCCUGUGUCGAGCACAAGACAGUACAACGGGGUGCAGGUGAUGUGAACAGCCCCUCCGUGGCUGCUCACCUAAAGACCAGGCUGGCAAUGAAGAGAAAGGCUUUAUACCUCCCUCUGGCUGCCAUGUGAUAAAGCUCAGGCUCCUACAGAGCAGCUUUGCCAGGUGGAGACUCAACCAG